rnacentral:lncRNA from 1 species
UGAAAAUGAUAGUUUCAAAGCACACGAGGGGAAAGCUCUAUAUAACACCAAGAUAAGCAACUAGGUGAUCCAAACGAAUAUACUAAAUUUUCAAAACUUGAAGACAUAAUAAAAGUAUCUCAAGGAUGAAAAGACUUGAAAUUAUUCAAUGAUCUUCUUAAAGCCAAACUCAAUAAGAUCCAUUGAUAAUUUCAAUGGUAUUCCAAGUAGGUAAAAAUGAUCUUAGAUCUUGCACAGAGAAAGU